CUAGUUUUUAUGGUGUGUUCUGCAUUGUCUGCACUGGUCAGACCACUGUUGUGUUUUUUAGGCCGACUGAGCAUGUUGAAUCAUUGAACGAAAUCACUUUGUUGGCUUUGCAAACUAGUGAAUGAUAAGAAAAAUGCAAGUGAUGAAAGCAAACAAGCAAUAAAGUCAAGAGGGUACACCACAGUGGCUCUUCUGAUUUUGCAUUCCCAUCUUAUCUGACCACUCCAACAUGAUUCACAUUCACAAUGAUAAGAAAUGAACUUAUGUGCUAGUUGGCUGUGGCUGUCAUCUUUGUGGUGUGUUCUAGCCCAACUUUUUGGCCCAGGCGCAGGCAACGAGAGGCGAUACUACAGUCAGCUUUCAUCACCGUUAGUUCUUUUAUGUCAGCUUGUUGUGAUUCUGCCUUAAAACUGCUAAACGUUUUGUCAACUUUCAAGAGUAAACUAACACAUACAUAGGCUCAAAUCUAACAGAUAUUGACUAAAAGCCAUAAAAGAUCCAUUUUGAAGUCAUGGGGUGUAUGAGAAUCACUCAUUGUUGUGUUGAGAGUCAUCCUCCCCCUCUCCCGCUGAUGUGCCAGGAAGUUUUGUAAACCGGGAUAUUGCUUCUAAUGGAUUUCAAACACCGCAAAAGUUUAUUAGUAAACAGAGCAUCGUAAAGUUAGAGGGGAGUGUAUGUAAAUGUGUGUGAGAGACUGUGGGGACAGGAGGUUUGGUUUGUGGAGAUAGUGGCGUCCCAAUUGACAAAAUAUGUGCAUGUUGAAGUAGUAGUCAAAACUUCCAGGCCUUCUGCAUCGAUUUUUUGUGUAUUUUGGAUUCAUGAAAAUUUAUAUAUCCAGUUUUUUAUAUUUAAAUGAAGUACUCACAUGACAUAGGCCAAGAUGAUACUGUUUUCCAUAUAUAAAAACACAUGCAGCAGCUUUCAGAUAAAUUGUGGCAACUUACAUAAAUAAGGCAAUGCACAUUAUAAGAUUGUAGAGAAAAUUUGAUCAGAGGAAUGUUACAUCAAAAAGCAUUGCUUUUGCCAUCUUUUUUUAGCCUUAUUUCCAUAAAGAUACUU
ensembl:lncRNA